rnacentral:rRNA from 1 species
UAGUCCACGCCGUAAACGAUGGUCACUCGCUGUUGGCGAUAUAAUGUCAGUGGCUGAGCGAAAGCAUUAAGUGACCCACCUGGGGAGUACGUUCGCAAGAAUGAAACUCAAAGGAAUUGACGGGGGCCCGCACAAGCGGUGGAGCAUGUGGUUUAAUUCGAUGAUACGCGAGGAACCUUACCAGGGCUUAAAUGUAGAGUGACAGAUCUGGAAACAGAUCCUUCUUCGGACUCUCUACAAGGUGCUGCAUGGUUGUCGUCAGCUCGUGCUGUGAAGUGUCGGGUUAAGUCCCGCAACGAGCGCAACCCUUGUCUUUAGUUGCCAUCAUUAAGUUGGGCACUUUAAAGAGACUGCCGGUGACAAACCGGAGGAAGGUAAGGAUGACGUCAAGUCAGCAUGCCCCUUAUGCUCCGGGCUACACACGUGCUACAAUGGCCGUGACAAAGAGUUGCUACUUUGUGAAAACAAGCUAAUCUCAUAAACGCGGCCUCAGUUCGGAUUG